rnacentral:rRNA from 1 species
UAAGCUAUUAAGGGCAGACGGUGGAUGCCUUGGUGCCAAGAGGCGAUGAAAGACGUGGAAAGCUGCGAUAAGCUUCGGGGAGCUGCUAAACGAGCAUUGAUCCGGAGAUUUCUGAAUGGGGGAACCCGCCGGAGGUAAUACUUCGGCAUCACAAUCUGAAUCGAUAGGGUUGUGAGGCGAACGAGGUGAACUGAAACAUCUUAGUAACCUCAGGAAGAGAAAACAAGAGUGAUUCCCUGAGUAGCGGCGAGCGAACGGGGAUAAGCCCAAACCGGUGUUAUGUCAAGCCCGAAAGCGUUGUAACACCGGGGUAGCGGGAUCUGAUUGGAGGGGGUUUCGGACCCUUCGGGAAGUUACCAAACCGAUUUAUAGUCGAACAUUCUGGAAAGGAUGGCCAUAGAGGGUGAGAGCCCCGUAGGCGAAAUAGAUCGGACUUUCUGGAUCGGACACCCAAGUACGGCGGGACACGAGGAAUCCCGUUGGAAUUUGUGAGGACCAUCUCAUAAGGCUAAAUACUCCUUGGCAACCGAUAGUGAACCAGUACCGUGAGGGAAAGGUGAAAAGUACCCCGGAGAGGGGAGUGAAAAGUACCUGAAACCGUUUGCCUACAAGCAGUGGGAGCACUAUGAAUGCUUCGGCGUUCAGUGUGACCGCGUGCCUUUUGCAUAAUGAGUCAGCGAGUUACUUUACGCAGCGAGGUUAAGCCGUGAGGUGUAGCCGUAGCGAAAGCGAGUCUGAAAAGGGCGAAUGAGUUGCGUGGAGUAUACCCGAAACCAGGUGAUCUAUCCAUGGCCAGGGUGAAGCUCCGGUAAAACGGAGUGGAGGCCCGAACCGUUGUAUGUUGAAAAAUGCUCGGAUGAGCUGUGGAUAGGGGUGAAAGGCCAAACAAACCUGGAAAUAGCUGGUUCUCCCCGAAAUAUAUUUAGGUAUAGCCUUGCGUUUAAGUGACGGGGGUAGAGCACUGGAUGGGCUAGGGGUCCUACCAGAUUACCAAACCUAACCAAACUUCGAAUACCGUCAACUGUUAUCGCAGGAGUCAGACUGCGGGAGCUAAGUUCCGUGGUCGAGAGGGAAACAGCCCAGACCGCCGGCUAAGGUCCCCAAAUAUACGCUAAGUGGGAAAGGAUGUGGAAAUGCCCAGACAACCAGGAGGUUGGCUUAGAAGCAGCCACCCUUUAAAGAAAGCGUAAUAGCUCACUGGUCGAGUGAGUCUGCGCCGAAGAUGUAACGGGGCUGAAGCGUAUUACCGAAGCUGCGGGAUAUCCAUUUGGAUAUCGGUAGGGGAGCAUUGUGUAUGGGAAGAAGGCCGACCGUAAGGACGACUGGACCGUACAGAAGAGACCAUGCUGACAUGAGUAACGAUAAAGCGGGUGAAAAACCCGCUCGCCGCAAACCUAAGGUUUCCUGAGUAAAGUUAAUCUUCUCAGGGUUAGUCGAUCCCUAAGCCGAGGCCGAAAGGCGUAGGUGAUGGCAAACAGGUGAAUAUUCCUGUACCACCGUCAUAUCGUUUGAGAGAAGGGGGGACGCAGGAGGGUAGGUCAUCCGCCUGCUGGAAUAGGCGGUUCAAGCCCGUAGGCAGAAAGAGCAGGCAAAUCCGCUCUUUUGUACAAUGCCGAGAGGUGAUGAGGAGGGGCUUGCCCCGUAAACUGAUUGAACCCAAGCUGCCAAGAAAAGCCUCUAUCGAGAUAUGAAGGUGAUCGUACCGCAAACCGACACAGGUAGGUGGGGAGAGAAUCCCAAGGCGCUUGAGAGAACCCUGGUUAAGGAACUCGGCAAAAUGACACCGUAACUUAGGGAGAAGGUGUGCCGCCGCUAUGUGAAGCGUUUUACAUGUGGAGCAGAAGGCGGCCGCAGAGAAAUGGCGGUAGCGACUGUUUACUAAAAACAUAGGACUCUGCUAAGUCGCAAGACGAUGUAUAGGGUCUGACGCCUGCCCGGUGCCGGAAGGUUAAGGGGAUUUGUCAGGGCAACCGAAGCAUUGAACCGAAGCCCCGGUAAACGGCGGCCGUAACUAUAACGGUCCUAAGGUAGCGAAAUUCCUUGUCGGGUAAGUUCCGACCUGCACGAAUGGCGUAACGACUUCCGCACUGUCUCAACCAGGGACUCAGUGAAAUUGUAUUGGCGGUGAAGAUGCCGUCUACCCGCGAAAAGACGGAAAGACCCCGGCACCUUUACUAUAGCUUGACAUUGGACUUUGAACUAGUAUGUGUAGGAUAGGUGGGAGACGUUGAAGCUGGGACGCCAGUCCUGGUGGAGUCGCCCUUGAAAUACCACCCUUGCUAUUUUAGGGUUCUAAUUUUGACCCAUGAACUGGGCGAAAGACAGUGUCUGGCGGGUAGUUUGACUGGGGCG